rnacentral:rRNA from 1 species
UACGUAGGGAGCAAGCGUUGUCCGGAAUCAUUGGGCGUAAAGCGCGCGUAGGUGGUCCCGUAAGUCCGCUGUGAAAGUCAAGGCUCAACCUUUGAAAGCCGGUGGAUACUGUGGGACUAGAGUACGGAAGAGGCGAGUGGAAUUCCUGGUGUAGCGGUGGAAAUGCGCAGAGUAUCAGGAGGAACACCAAUAGCGAAGGCAGCUCGCU